GAUCCUAUAGUAAAGUGGUAAAUACGUGGCAUUGUGGUCUUCUGAGUUUACUCAGGUACAAUUCUGCCGAGGCGAGUGUUCGAUUCACUCUAGGGUCA